CCAAGAUGGAGGGCUCGCCUCGAGAGCUGGUGGACUUGAGCCUGGAGGAUGACACCAUGACGGACGAGGAGGUUGGACUCUCCAUCGCCGAGGGACUUCAUGAGAGGAAACCAGAACUCAUAGUGCGAGUGGUGGAGGUCCUAGGACGCGAAAAGGCCCUUGAGCUAUACAAAGAGACGCAGAAAGUGGAGCGCGAAGGGGGCCUCAUGAUCUUGAAUGGCUCAAGAAGAAGAACCUCAGGCGGCGUGUACCUGCAG